rnacentral:rRNA from 1 species
UGGCGGACGGGUGAGUAACGCGUGGGUAACCUGCCCUGUACAGGGGGAUAACAAUCAGAAAUGACUGCUAAUACCGCAUAAGACCACAGCACCGCAUGGUGCAGGGGUAAAAACUCCGGUGGUACAGGAUGGACCCGCGUCUGAUUAGCUGGUUGGUGAGGUAACGGCUCACCAAGGCGACGAUCAGUAGCCGGCUUGAGAGAGUGAACGGCCACAUUGGGACUGAGACACGGCCCAAACUCCUACGGGAGGCAGCAGUGGGGAAUAUUGCACAAUGGGGGAAACCCUGACGCAGCGACGCCGCGUGAGUGAAGAAGUAUCUCGGUAUGUAAAGCUCUAUCAGCAGGGAAGAAAAUGACGGUACCUGACUAAGAAGCCCCGGCUAACUACGUGCCAGCAGCCGCGGUAAUACGUAGGGGGCAAGCGUUAUCCGGAAUUACUGGGUGUAAAGGGUGCGUAGGUGGUAUGGCAAGUCAGAAGUGAAAACCCAGGGCUUAACUCUGGGACUGCUUUUGAAACUGUCAGACUGGAGUGCAGGAGAGGUAAGCGGAAUUCCUAGUGUAGCGGUGAAAUGCGUAGAUAUUAGGAGGAACAUCAGUGGCGAAGGCGGCUUACUGGACUGUAACUGACACUGAGGCACGAAAGCGUGGGGGAGCAAACAGGAUUAGAUACCCUGGGUAGUCCACGGCCGUAAAGGA